rnacentral:rRNA from 1 species
UAGUAUGGGGAUCUGCCCGAUAGAGGAGGAUAACUACUGGAAACGGUGGCUAAUACCGCAUAAUGUCUACGGACCAAAGCAGGGGCUCUUCGGACCUUGCACUAUCGGAUGAACCCAUAUGGGAUUAGCUAGUAGGUGGGGUAAAGGCUCACCUAGGCGACGAUCUCUAGCUGGUCUGAGAGGAUGAUCAGCCACACUGGGACUGAGACACGGCCCAG